rnacentral:piRNA from 1 species
UGCUGUGCCUCUAGAAAAUAUUACAUUGG